GUAAUUCCGCUCUGCAGAAUCCCCCAUGGCCGGCUCUCCAGUGUCCACUCCUUUGUGGAAGAAGCUGGUGGAUUUCAAAGGCUUCAGGUCAAGGGAAGUCCGACUACACUGAAGCAGACGAACCAGGAGAACAGGGAUCGCGUUUUCAGCUCAAGGUGAAGGGGCUGCUGUCAGCCACCACUUCCACAUGCUACCCAAAUCAGCCCCAACACACUUUGCAUGUCAAGGUUAUCGGUUGUGUUUUCUGAGUGCCGAUCCCUGCUGUAGUUGGAAACCCCCAUCCCUGGUCGGGGGUAACCAGCCAGGCACGUUACUUCUCAACAGCAUCAUGGGAUCUCCCACGAAAAAACUGCAGCACUUCUCUACCACCAUGGGGUCCUUCUCCGAGGGCUCACUCGCCCGGACGUCGCUGCCCUUCUCGGUUUUACCAAGGAUGGCGAAGGAAACCUCAGUCGGUGACACGGCCCCCGGUGCCUACUGCGGUAAUCUCCUAUCUCCCCGGGGCGGGUUCGGGGCCACCAGAUCCACCCAUGAAGAGUUGACCCUCGGCUCUCUGGGGAGGCGGGUGGGCAAGGGGAGGGACCAGACUCCUCCCCUACCCCGGUCCAUCUCAGUCAGGUUGGGUGGCGAGGCAGGGAGGGACAAGGAAAAAAAAAAAAGUGCUGAGAACUGGAACUGGUGUGCAAGGUGACAGUGCUUCUGGGUAAGGCAAAUGAGAGGCAGUGAGGUGAGCUCAGAACGGCAUCGAGGAGGG
rnacentral:lncRNA from 1 species